rnacentral:rRNA from 1 species
UACAGAGGUCUCAAGCGUUGUUCGGAUUCAUUGGGCGUAAAGGGUGCGUAGGUGGCGCUGUAAGUCGGGUGUGAAAUUUCGGAGCUUAACUCCGAAACUGCAUUCGAUACUGCGGUGCUUGAGGACUGGAGAGGAGACUGGAAUUCAUGGUGUAGCAGUGAAAUGCGUAGAGAUCCGGAAGAACACCGGUGGCGAAGGCGGUCUGCUGGGGUCGAACUGACGCUGAGGCGCGACAGCGUGGGGGAGCAAACAGG